GUGAGGACACAGCAAAAGGUGCUGCCUAUAAAUCAGAAAGCAGAGCCCUCACAAGUAACCAAAUUUGCCGGCGUCUUGAUCUUGGACUUGCCAGCCUCCAGGACUGUAGCUCACUCCUGGCUUCAGCAGCAGACAUGAUAUUAAAACCUUGGGACUGGAGCAUUUAAAAACAAGGUACCCUCAAGGAAAUAGAAAUUAAACCAUAUUCAAUGUGUAUCCACCAGAAUGGCUAAAAUGAAAACGACAGAAAAUGCCAAAUAUUGGCGAGAAGCUAGAGCAUCUGGAACUCUCAUACAUUGCUGGUGUCUGAAGUCAGCUUCAUGCACAGAUUAAUUCAGUGUCAGCUUUCACAAGUUACACCUGAAGGGACAUGUGGUAAAGGGAUAUAUGGAGAAAGGAUAAAUAUCUUCAGAAUGAAGCUCACUUCUGUGGAGGUAGGAGGAGGAAUGAGACAGCGCCAAAGUGGAUUUAACCUAAGAACAUAUCUGCAACUACUGCAUCUGAAGAAAAUACGGCAUCGAUGCGUUAAAUCUUGAAACCCUUGAGAAGUAACUCCCUCCUGCUCUUCAGCCCCUUGUUGUUUUACUCACCUCCCCACUUUCUUCUGAUUCUUCAGUGGAAAAUCCCGAGAUCCAGAGACAGGCUCCUCUUCGGAGGGUAAGAGACGGAAAGAGACUGAGCAUGGGACAAAGGAAAGGAAGGCCUGAACUCCUGAAUGUGUUACACUGUCCCCGCCCCUACUUACAAGAAGCAACUGCCAUGCUGAAGUCUGCUUUUGAAAUUCUCGUAAGCAA
rnacentral:lncRNA from 1 species